AAACAUGGCAUCAAGUCAUCUGAAUCUAAGAGCAGAUGCUAGGAGGCACAAGAAAUUUAAAGCAACGUUGCAAAACUAGUUGUAACUUGUGCUUCAGAAUGUGAAGAGGACUACAAAAAUCUGAGAAUUUUCGUCAAAGAAAAAUUAAAAUCACACGGACUUCAGAAUCUGGUGGACCAUCAAAAAGUUGUUGAUACACACUCCCUUUUUGAGACAGUAUUUAUUAAUGAACAUCAGCUACCAAUGCAACGCAAACUUAAAAUACUGAAAGACACCAUGAAUGAUAUGGGUAAACUUCAUGUGGCUGAGAAAGUCAAGCAGUGCUUAAAUCAAAUGCGUACAUCCAAUCCCAAUCCAUCAGAUUCAUUGCCUUCACACAUGUUAAAGAGAAGUUGCCCUAUGAAACCUUAUAUUCUACAGAUAUCACGAGAGCUUGGUACGAACUGGAAAGACCUGGCAAGACAACUGGGUUUCAUUGAAGCAGAAAUCGACAACAUCGAGCAUCGGG